AAAAAUCUCGAACACACGAUCGAAACUCGAACAGAACAAGAAGAAAUAGGACAGGCUCCAAGGCGUGUAUCAAGCCACUAUCUUUAAGGUUAUAUUCGCCUCCACCUACCUUCGGUGUGCAAAUGAGUUCCAAGCAAAUUAACCUCGAGGAUACAAUGAAGCCAAUGACUAUUUGCGUUUUGCACUGACGAGAAUAGUCCACUAUGCACUGAGCAAUGUAUAACAAAAACUCAAUUUCUACAAAGGAUUUCUACAGUAAUACUUUAUAGAAUAAUCUAAUAAUAUUAGAAAAUGAAGGAAGGAAAGAAAGAAUAUUAGAAUUUGUUGAUAUGAUUUCCAAAUGAAAUCCCAUUCCUAUUUAUAGGAAUUUUCAUGUCUCUUCAUAGAGACAUCUUUCAAUAGGUGUCUUUAUGAAUAAAUAAAUAAUAAUAAUUAUUCAUUUAAUUUUGUAACUAUUCAAAUAAUAUUUUUUGAAUAGUUAUAAUUCUUUUUUAAAAAAUCAAAUGAUAUAACUUUUGACUAAUGACCAAAAGUUUUAUCUUUUGAUUAAUUACACCCAUUCAUUUAUAGUUAUUGAGAUACUAUAAAUAUUUGAAAAUGUUCCAACAAUCUCCUCCCAUUUUCAAAAUAUUUAGAUUUUAAUAUUCUUGGAAAUCAAUUUGCAUAAAUAAAUGUGUCUUACGAUUGAACCUUCACUUAGUGAAAACAUGUUAAAGUUAAUCAAAAUUGCAUGGAAGACUAAGCUUUGAACCAACUAUUCCAUUUGAUUAACUAAACACAUCUCACACAAUGAUUUCAACAUCGAUCAAUGCAUAGUAUCUAGGGACACUAUUAUGGCCAUGUGUCUAUGUCAUCUUUUCAUGAGUGCUGUCAGAGCCAAGCCCUUGAGCUCCUAGAAGCGGUCACACUUCCACUCACAUAGGUGGAACCCAUCAAAAGUGUUCCGGUAAUUAUAACACUCUAACAUAUUUAUGUUAUGGGUCCAUUAAGAAUACAUUACUCAUCCUUCCCUUAUCAUUACGUGUACCUAGCACUUUAAUCUUAGGAUGGAUUUAUUUAUAAUGCUAACAGUCACAUACUAAUGAUGUACUUUGUCUCAUUGAACUCAAGACUUGAUGUUAUACCAAGUGUUGAGUCGAGUUUCCAUCAUGGGUGACUCUAAUUAAUAGGCUUGAGUCCCAUCCCUUUUGAAGUCCUUUUUACUGCAUCUCUAACAAGACUUUUUGUCAAAGGAUCUGCCAAAUUUUCACUUGACCUCACAUAAUUAAUAGUGAUCACUCCAUCAGAGAUUAAUUGUCAGACAUAACUAUGUCUUAAUCCAAUGUGUCUAGACUUUUCAUUAUAUACUUGGCUAUAUGCCUUUGCUAGAGUAGGCUCACUAUCACAACGGAUAGAAAUAGGUGAAAUUGGCUUAGGCCAUAAAGAUACAUCAUAAAGCAAAUUUCUUAACCAUUCUGCUUCUUUAGAUGCAGCGACUAGUGCAAUAAAUUCCGCUGCCAUGGUGGAAUCAGUAAUACAUGUUUGUUUCUUGGAACCCUAAGAAAUGACUCCUCCACCAAGAAUGAAGAUCCAUCUACUAGUAGAUACAUGAUCUUCCAAACUUGUAAUCCAACUAGCAUCCGAAUACCCUUCUAAAACUGGAGGAUAUCCAUUAUAACACAAUCCAUAGUUAAUAGUUUUCUUUAAGUACCUAAGUACUCUAUUCAAAGCUUGCCAAUGCAAACCACUUGGAUUACUCGUGUACCUACUCAAUUUUCCAACAACAUAUGCAAUAUCUGGUAUUGUACAAGUCAUUAUAUACAUAAGACAACCAAUUAGACUUGCAUAUUUCAAUAGAUCAAUUUUCCUACCAACAUUAGAUACUAAUUUUAAUUGAGGAUUCAUGGGUGUAGAUGCUGGUAUACAGUUGAAAAGAUCAAACUUUUUAAGCACAUUUUCAAUGUAAUGUGAUUGUGAUAAAGCUAUAGUGCUUUCAUCUCGGGUUAUUUUAAUCCCAAGAAUAACAUCUGCUACACACAUAUCCUUCAUAGCAAAGUUGUUUGACAAGAAUUUCUUUGUGUUUUCUAUUUGUUCCAUAUCCGUGCCAAAAAUAAGCAUGUCAUCUACAAAUAAGCAAAUUAUGACACCUUUUCCAUUUUCAAAUUUGCUAUAUAUGCACUUAUUGGAUUCAUUUAUUUUAUAGCUAUUAGCUAAAACAACAUUGUCAAACUUUUGGUGCCAUUGUUUUGGUGUUUGUUUAAGCCCAUAUAAAGAUUUAAUAAGCUUACAUACCUUAUGCUCUUGUCCUGGAACAACAAAUCCUUUCGGUUGCUCUAUGUACACUUCCUCUUCCAAUUCACCAUUUAAAAAUGCAGUUUUAACAUCCAUUUGGUGAACAACCAAAUUAUAUAUAGAGGUAAGUGAUAUUAAGAGUCUAAUUGUAGUAACUACUGGAGCAUAGGUAUCAAAGUAAUCAAUACCUUAUUUUUGUGUAAAACCUUUUGCUAUCAACCUUGCUUUAAAUUUAUCAAUGGUUCCAUCGACCUUCAUUUUCUUUUUGAAGAUCCAUUUACAACCUAUUGGUUUGGAACAUGGUGGAAGAUCAACUAAGAUCCAAGUUUGAUUUCUCAUUAUUGAAUCUAUCUCAUCAUUUAUUGCUUCUUUCCAAAAAGCAGAGUCUUGAGAUUUCACUGCCUUUUCAAAUGUAAUAGGAUCAGAUUCAGUAUUAUAACAAUACGGUACCUUAUUGCAUAUACUUUCACCUUUUCCUUCUACAAGAAACAUAAUGAAAUUUAGUCCAAAAUCUUUGACAUUUUUAAUCCUUUUACUUCUUCUUAAUUCUUGACAAGAUUUUUCAUUAUUAUCAAUUUGUUUCAAUGGAAUCUCAUUCUUAUUUGAAGAAUGAAUCAAUUGUUGUGGUUGUAAUUAUCUUGAUAUAGAAUUAAAUCUAUUUUCAUCAAAAAUAGCAUCUCUUGAUUCAAUAACAGUAUUAAUUGAAAUUGAAUCAUUUGGUUCAAUUACCAUGAACCUAUAUGCCUUGCUAUUAUGUGCAUAACCUAUAAAUAUGCAUUCAAUUCCUCUUUCACCUAACUUUUUACGUUUAGGUGUUGGAACUUUUACAGUAGCUCUACAACCCCAAACCUUCAAAUAAUUAAGGUUUGGUUUUCUUUUCUUCCGUUGUUCAUGGGGGGUUAUUUAUGUUUCCUUAUUAGGAACUCUAUUCAAUAUAUGACAAGCUGUUAGAACAGCUUCUCCCCAAAAACCUUGUCCAAGACCUGAAUAUGAUAACAUUGAAUUUACCAUUUCAGUCAAGACUCUAUUUUUUCUUUCAGCUACACCAUUUUGUUGUGGUGUGUAAGGGGCUAAAACUUGAUGGACAAUUCCAGUUACUUCAAAAUAACUUGGAUUAUAGUAUUCUCCACCUUUAUCCGAUCUUAAGCACUUGAUAAAUGAUUCACACUGAAGUUCAACUUCAGAUUUAUAAACUUUAAAUUUAUCAAGCACUUCAUCUUUUGAAUGCAAUAAAUAUACAUAGAAAUAUCUAGAACAAUCAUCAAUAAAAGUAACAAAAUAUUUCUUUCCACCUAAUGUAGGAGUAUUAUGUAAGUCACAUAAAUCACUAUGUAUCAAAUCAAGCAAUUUUUUUUCCUUUUAACCUUAGGGAAAUGGUUUCUUGUAAUUUUAGUCAACAUACAUGUAUUGCAUUUUUCAAUAUUAUUAUUAAAAACAGGAAUUAAAUCUAAUUUAUACAUGUCAUUCAAUUUUUUAUAAUUCAAAUGACCUAAUCUAUAAUGCCACAAAAAAAAAACAUUCAACCAUAUAAGCAGAAAUAGUAUUUUUAUUCUUAUUAAUAAUAUUGAGUUUGAACAUGCUCUCAUACAUAUACCCUUUCCCCCUAAAAUUCCUCCCUUAGACAAAAUAAACUUAUCUGCCUCAAAAACAAGUUUGAAACCAAACUUAUUCAACAAACUUCCAGACACUAAAUUCUUCCUAACUUCUGGUACAUAAUAUACAUCAUUUAAGGUUAAAACCUUUCCAGAAGCGAAUUGUAGUUCAACAGACCCUUUGCCUUUAAUUGCUGCGGUGGAAGAAUUUCCCAUGUACAAGACAUUGUCAUUUUCACAUUGUGUGAACAUUGUGAACAUGCUUUUGUCGUUGCAGACAUGUUUGGUUGCUCUGGUAUCAAUCCACCAUGUAUUAUCAUCUUGUGCCACAUUAAUUUCAGAUAUCAUUGCAACGAACUUUUCGUUAUUAUCAGCCUUAGAAGAUGAUUUCUUCUUUAAAAAUCAACAUUCAUUCUUGAAAUGUCCCGGCUUUCCACAAUGAUAGCAUGAACCCUUUUGUUUCUUUUUGAACUUAGGUGCUCUAUCAGUCUGAUUGAACUUUCUCUUGAAUGGUUUAGUAGUCUGUACUUCCUCCGUAACAUGUACUUUGGCAUUUUCAGAAUUUAGGUUCUAAUCUUGUUUUCGAUACUCUUCUUCAAUACGAAGAUGAUUUGCCAAAGCCUCAAGAGAUAUUUCCUCUUUUUUAUGUUUUAGACUUCUUUUAAAUUCUUUCCAAGAUGGAAGAAGUUUGUCUAUUAUGGUGGAUACCACAAUCAUUUCAUCCAUUUUCAUAUCAUAUUUCUUAAAUUGAUUCAGCAUCUUUUCAAUAUCACGAAAUUGUUCCAUAACAGAACGACCAUCAACCAUUUUAUAAUUAUUGAAACGAUUGGCAAGAAAUUUCUUACUUGUAACAUCUUUAGUCAUGUAUCUUGCCUCCAAUUUGUCCCAUAAUUCUUUAGCGGUGACCUCAUUUUGGUAGGUGUCUAACAAACCAUCAGAUAAACCAUUCAAUAUGUGGCUCAUGCACAUGUAGUUAGCAUUGUCCCAUUUUUGUCUUUCUCGGGUUGCAGCAACAGAUUUGUUUUCAUUCUCUUCAGGUCUUGGAGUAUCCAAAACAUAAGCAAUCUUCAAAGUUGAUAAUAAGAAGUGCAUCUUUUUCUGCCAUCGUCGAAAAUUGCCACCAUCAAACCGAUCAAGUUUAACAAAUUUAGAAGCCAACUCCCUUAGUGUUCCACUUUCAUGUGUUGUGGUAGUCAUAAUGAAUUAUAACCUUAAAAUUGUUAGUUCAAAACUCUGGUAAGGAAAAUCUCGAACACACGAUCGAAACUCAAACAGAAAAAGAAGAAAUAGGACAGGCUCCAAGGCGUGUAUCAAGCCACUAUCUUUAAGGUUAUAUUCGCCCCCACCUACCUUCGGUGUGCAAAUGAGUUCCAAGCAAAUUAACCUCGAGGAUACAAUGAAGCCAAUGACUAUUUGCGUUUUGCACUGACGAGAAUAGUCCACUAUGCACUGAGCAAUGUAUAACAAAAACUCAAUUUCUACAAAGGAUUUCUGCAGUAAUACUUUAUAGAAUAAUCUAAUAAUAUUAGAAAAUGAAGGAAGGAA
rnacentral:lncRNA from 1 species